rnacentral:rRNA from 1 species
GAUGAACGCUGGCGGCGUGCCUAAUACAUGCAAGUCGAGCGAACAGACGAGGAGCUUGCUCCUCUGACGUUAGCGGCGGACGGGUGAGUAACACGUGGAUAACCUACCUAUAAGACUGGGAUAACUUCGGGAAACCGGAGCUAAUACCGGAUAAUAUAUUGAACCGCAUGGUUCAAUAGUGAAAGACGGUUUUGCUGUCACUUAUAGAUGGAUCCGCGCCGCAUUAGCUAGUUGGUAAGGUAACGGCUUACCAAGGCAACGAUGCGUAGCCGACCUGAGAGGGUGGUCGGCCACACUGGAAGUGAGACACGGUCCAGGCUCCUACGGGAGGCAGCAGUAGGGAAUCUGCCGCAAUGGGGGGAAACCUGGCGGAGCAAGGGCGCGUGGGGUGUGAAGGUCUUCGGAUCGGAAAACUCUGUUAUUAGGGGAAAACCAAUUUGUAAGUAACUAUGCACGUCUUGACGGUACCUAAUCAGAAAGCCACGGCUAACUACGUG